rnacentral:rRNA from 1 species
GAUGAACGCUGGCGGCGUGCCUAAUACAUGCAAGUCGAGCGAACGGACGAGAAGCUUGUUCCUCUGAUGUUAGCGGCGGACGGGUGAGUAACACGUGGAUAACCUACCUAUAAGACUGGGAUAACUUCGGGAAACCGGUGCUAAUACCGGAUAAUAUUUUGAACCGCAUGGUUCAAAAGUGAAAGACGGUCUUGCUGUCACUUAUAGAUGGAUCCGCGCUGCAUUAGCUAGUUGGUAAGGUAACGGCUUACCAAGGCAACGAUGCAUAGCCGACCUGAGAGGGUGAUCGGCCACACUGGAACUGAGACACGGUCCAGACUCCUACGGGAGGCAGCAGUAGGGAAUCUUCGGCAAUGGGCGAAAGCCUGACGGAGCAACGCCGCGUGAGUGAUGAAGGUCUUCGGAUCGUAAAACUCUGUUAUUGGGGAAGAACAUAUGUAUAAGUAACUGUGCACAUCUUGACGGUACCUAAUCAGAAAGCCACGGCUAACUACGUG